CGAGGUUUUUCUGGUCUGUGGUGUUAUCCUGGCACUUAGGGCUUGGAAAAGGCUCUUCUGGCCGGCUUGGUGCUGGGUGGCUGGCAUUUCGGGGUUCACGUAACAAUGGCAUGAUGCUUGCAGUGGCUGGAGCCGGGACGCGACUUUUCUGGUCGCUUCUCAGCCGAGAAGGGUGAAAACCGCAUCCGGAAAGGUGGAAAAACUACCUCCUAUUAGACAGUGGAUACCUGAGACUCAUUUCAUGACUUUCAAAGUUCCUUUGCAAAGUUGGAGUUGGAAUUAUCUGUUGAAGAGGAUGUCCCUUGAGAGGAAGGCUACUGUAAAACUGGUAGCAUGAAGAUGAAUCUGUGGUUUGGAGCCCCACCUAUGGUCUUUUUGAAGACUGUUAUCUUUUGACACCAAGAAAAAUGACUAGUUUGAAAUGAGUUCUUCGGCAUGCUUAGACAGAAAGGUCUUUAAAGCUUUCAUGGAUGGAGAUUUACAGUCAUAGAAGAAGAAAAAUCAUUAAAAGAUGAGCAAGAAUUUAAAGGGGAAUCUAAGUUCGCUCCAAUUAUCAAGACACCAAAACAGCCUAUCUGGAACAUUAGUAGGUAUUGGAAUGCUCUGAAGCAGAAAUGGACUGUAUGCUAAAGAGAAAUUAUUCCUAUUGUUUAAUUUUGCUGUGAAGUCAUUGGGGACAAAUCAAAUUUGAAAAGUAAGUACACAGAUAUAAAAAUCCUCAACAAGAUUCUAGCAAGAC